UCGACUCCUCAAACUCAUCAUCAUUUGCCUUGAAUCAAGAAGAAACUCAAAGAUCUCUUUCCUCUACUCUUGAAAAGAGUCUUUUCUUAAGAUUUUGAGAAGCUUUGAGGAGGCGAGGCUAUGGCCAAGGGUGAUGGACCAGUUGAGGGUUAACACCGGAGUUGUAUAGCUCGCCAAGUUUGUGAGUGGGACUUACCCUUUUCAUGGACUAUACUAUCAUGUGUUAGUUCAGCGUAGUGAUGCAGACGUGAAGUGCUUAGCAAGAGUCUAUCAUCGUUGCAUUCAAUCUAAGUUUUGUAUAUGCUUAUUUCUCAUCCAUGGCAUGUAUUAGGAGGGAUCCAUUAGUGUGUAUAUCGACUUAUUUGUACCUGGUUUCCUUCUUUGAAAACCUGUUAUUUGUUGUUGUCUAACAGUUGUAUAAGAAACAAUACUCAGGGUUUGGUUUGUAAUAUGGUCAUGUAUCUUAA